AUAAUUUGUUAUGCUUACUGCAAAGACUUAGAUCGCUGCUUGGUCUGGCAGUGCUUCUAAAAGCGGUCAGCGUUCAGGGUCAAGCAAGCGCUGGCGAUAGAAAACAGCACAUGCUGUUAAUGGAAGCAUAGAGUAGCAUCUGUACUAGUUAAAGCCAAGAACUAGCUAAAAUAAUAAAUGAGUUUGGCAAUUUAUUUAAGCAUUUGCUGCGUAAUUUUUAUAAUUGCGAGCAGUGCAGCUUUGGUCAAACUGAAGUGAACGAAAAUUGCCGCAAGCUAAGUAAUCUAACUGUAGAUGACGUGCUAAAAUAUUGGAGACGUAAGCCUCGCAUUAAUGUUAUAUGCUAUGCGCGUUGCCUGUUCGAGCCGAUUUUGGGCGCUGAUGAAAAACUGAAUCUAACGCAUGUUCAAGCUCAAACUAAUUGGCGUGGACAUUUUAGCAUUUUGCAUAUAUGCGCUUACUAUUGGAAAGAUUUUGAUCAGACCACGCCCAAUACGCCCAAAUGUUUGUAUGCACACUUAGUGCUUAAUUGCCUGCAUGCGUAUUUUGAUAAUCAAGAUGAAUUUAAUGCACGCUACAAUGGCACAGAAAGCAAGUUAAUUCAAUAAAGUAAUGCCCAACACACACACACACACGCACAAAAAGCUUUUUAUGCAUUGCUUGUGUUAUAAAUUUAAAUCGAAUUAUAUUUGGAUAAACAAUAUUCAAAGCAAGCGCAAUGCAAAAAUUUUUAAUUGAGCAUAAAGUUCAAACGUGUGUGAGAGCUUUAUAAUUAUAAAAUAGCUAACAUAGAUAUUGAAAUUCCUUUUUGACACAUGU